UAUUUCUUUAUCCAAAUCUAGCAUUUUCCCCAAACUUGAACGCAUUUUUCUCUGUAAUUCAAUCGGGGAAUAUAUUCUCUCUCAGAAUUGUAAACAAAAUUGGUACAACGUAUCAUGGAUACCCUUGUUUCUCGUGAUGCCAUGUAAUUGGUCCGCCUACGUGGAAGACGACAGUCAUAUGUGGCCAUUAAAUAAUCCAAACUGGAGAAGGAAUUGUUAGGUCAAAUGAACCAAGCACCCCUUACCUUAUUUCAUCACGGAAAUUGCGAUUUGGGAACCCUAAUUUAUCAUAAACGCUCGAUUUAUCUUGGCAUCGAAGUGAAAUUCCUCAAACAUCUCCGUCAAAAGCGUGAACCCUACUCCCCAAAAUCAUAAUUAUUCCAAAAUUGAAUACGAGUCAAGGGCAAUUGUUGAUUGGCUCGGAGAGAACACCCAAAGGAAAAAACAAGGGGAUUUGCCACUGUUACAGAGAACCAAGCCACCAAUUAUGGGUAUGCCUAAAAAAACAGCAAUGUCCAAAUUGUGCCGGAGCAAUCAUAAAAUGGAUGUCAAAGAAGAACGAAAGGGCUUUUCAAUUGAAGAUUUGUCCAGUUUGUUAAAGAUUGCCGCUGAAAUUAUCGAACAACAAGAUGUCACCAUUAAACUAAGCUUCCACAAGGGUAAAGGAGACACGGAAGUCAGAAGGAAACGAAGGCCAAGAGAGUCGUGAACAUAUUCCAUAUAUGAAGGCGACGAGACGAGAAGAACUAACUUUUAAUUUCAUAUUUUUUUAAUAACUAGACUAUUCAUGCUUCCAAUUUCAUGUUUAUUGUUUUCGUUUAAGUGGAAACUAUGCUGUACUUGAUAUUUGAUUUCGUGAAGUUGUGAUUUCUAAAGAACAAUCUCCGUUUGCCUAUGUUUGAUUUGAACUAGUUGUGUAUCAAAACUUUUCUAAUGA